UGGGGAAUAUUGGACAAUGGGGGCAACCCUGAUCCAGCCAUGCCGCGUGUGUGAAGAAGGCCUUUUGGUUGUAAAGCACUUUAAGCAGUGAAGAAGACUCCAUGGUUAAUACCCAUGGACGAUGACAUUAGCUGCAGAAUAAGCACCGGCUAACUCUGUGCCAGCAGCCGCGGUAAUACAGAGGGUGCAAGCGUUAAUCGGAAUUACUGGGCGUAAAGCGAGCUUAGGUGGCUUGAUAAGUCAGAUGUGAAAGCCCCGGGCUUAACCUGGGAACGGCAUCUGAUACUGUUAGGCUAGAGUAGGUGAGAGGAAGGUAGAAUUCCAGGUGUAGCGGUGAAAUGCGUAGAGAUCUGGAGGAAUACCGAUGGCGAAGGCAGCCUUCUGGCAUCAUACUGACACUGAGGUUCGAAAGCGUGGGUAGCAAACA
rnacentral:rRNA from 1 species